rnacentral:lncRNA from 10 species
GAAGAGGUAUCUGCAGCCAAAAGACACCCCUCGGGAAAUGAGUCAUGCACUGGCAGCUGCAAGUCAGGCUGGCUCAUAGAUGGAAGAGACUUGCCUUGUAUCAGGUGAAACUUUGAACUUUUGAGUUAAUGCUGGAGUGAGUUAAGACUUUGGAGAACUGCUGGAAAUGCAUGAUUGUAUUUUGCAAUAUGGGAAGGACAUGAGAUUUGGGGGGCUGGGGGUGGAAAGAUAUGGUUUGGAUCUAUGUCCCUGCCAAAUCUCAUGUCAAAUUAUAAUCCUGAGUGUUGGAGGUGGGGCUUGGUGGGAGGUGACUGGAUCAUAGCAGGGCAGUGGUUUCUCCUGAGUGGUUUAGCACCAUCCCUCUUGGUGUUGUCCUCAUGAUAGUGAGUUUGUUCUCCUGUGAUCUGGUCAUUUAAAAGUCUGUGGCACCUCCCUACUCACUCUCUCUUGCUCCUGCUCCUGCCAUGUGAGACUCCUUGCUCCCCCUUUGCCUUCUGCCAUAAUUAGAAGUUUCCUGAGGCCUGCCCGAAACCAAUCAGAUGCCAGCAUCAUGCUUCCUGUACAGCCUGCAGAACCAUGAGCCAACCAAACCUCUUUUCUUUAUAAAUUACCCAGUCUUAGGUAUUUCUUUAUAGCAAUGCAAGAAUCAACUAAUACAGAAGUUUUGUAAUACUUAAAAAAUGUGUUUAAAAUGUCCUCA